rnacentral:tRNA from 1 species
UUUUAAGUAAUUUAUGUGUGUAAAAUUCUCGCUUUUGAUGUGUGGUAAGAAAUUCGGUAGUUUCCUUCCUAU